GACGAACGCUGGCGGCGUGCUUAACACAUGCAAGUCGAACGGUGAAGCGCCUUCCUUUUUGGUGGGUGUGGAUGAGUGGCGAACGGGUGAGUAACACGUGAGUAACCUGCCCCCUUCUUCUGGAUAACCGCAUGAAAGUGUGGCUAAUACGGAAUAUUCUGGGUCUGUCGCAUGAUGGGUCUGGGAAAGAUAUUGUUUCGGUGGGGGAUGGGCUCGCGGCCUAUCAGCUUGUUGGUGGGGUGAUGGCCUACCAAGGCGGUGACGGGUAGCCGGCCUGAGAGGGUGGACGGUCACACUGGGACUGAGACACGGCCCAGACUCCUACGGGAGGCAGCAGUGGGGAAUAUUGCACAAUGGGCGCAAGCCUGAUGCAGCGACGCCGCGUGAGGGAUGGAGGCCUUCGGGUUGUGAACCUCUUUCGCCAGUGAAGCAGGCCUGCCUCGUUUGUGGGUGGGUUGACGGUAGCUGGAUAAGAAGCGCCGGCUAACUACGU
rnacentral:rRNA from 1 species